UGAACGCUGGCGGCGUGCCUAAUACAUGCAAGUCGAGCGAACAGACGAGGAGCUUGCUCCUCUGACGUUAGCGGCGGACGGGUGAGUAACACGUGGAUAACCUACCUAUAAGACUGGGAUAACUUCGGGAAACCGGAGCUAAUACCGGAUAAUAUAUUGAACCGCAUGGUUCAAUAGUGAAAGACGGUUUUGCUGUCGCUUAUAGAUGGAUCCGCGCCGCAUUAGCUAGUUGGUAAGGUAACGGCUUACCAAGGCAACGAUGCGUAGCCGACCUGAGAGGGUGAUCGGCCACACUGGAACUGAGACACGGUCCAGACUCCUACGGGAGGCAGCAGUAGGGAAUCUUCCGCAAUGGGCGAAAGCCUGACGGAGCAACGCCGCGUGAGUGAUGAAGGUCUUCGGAUCGUAAAACUCUGUUAUUAGGGAAGAACAAAUGUGUAAGUAACUAUGCACGUCUUGACGGUACCUAAUCAGAAAGCCACGGCUAACUACGUG
rnacentral:rRNA from 1 species